rnacentral:rRNA from 1 species
CCUACGGGUGGCAGCAGUCGAGAAUCAUUCACAAUGGGGGAAACCCUGAUGGUGCAACGCCGCGUGGGGGAAUGAAGGUCUUCGGAUUGUAAACCCCUGUCAUGUGGGAGCAAAUUAAAAAGAUAGUACCACAAGAGGAAGAGACGGCUAACUCUGUGCCAGCAGCCGCGGUAAUACAGAGGUCUCAAGCGUUGUUCGGAAUCACUGGGCGUAAAGCGUGCGUAGGCUGUUUCGUAAGUCGUGUGUGAAAGGCGCGGGCUCAACCCGCGGACGGCACAUGAUACUGCGAGACUAGAGUAAGGGAGGGGGAACCGGAAUUCUCGGUGUAGCAGUGAAAUGCGUAGAUAUCGAGAGGAACACUCGUGGCGAAGGCGGGUUCCUGGACAUUAACUGACGCUGAGGCACGAAGGCCAGGGGAGCGAAAGGGAUUAGAUACCCUUGUAGUC